CGAACCGGGGGAACUGAAACAUCUAAGUACCCCGAGGAAAAGAAAUCAACCGAGAUUCCCCCAGUAGCGGCGAGCGAACGGGGAGGAGCCCAGAGCCUGAAUCAGCAUGUGUGUUAGUGGAAGCGUCUGGAAAGGCGCGCGAUACAGGGUGACAGCCCCGUACACAAAAGCGCAUGUGCUGUGAGCUCGAUGAGUAGGGCGGGACACGUGGUAUCCUGUCUGAAUAUGGGGGGACCAUCCUCCAAGGCUAAAUACUCCUGACUGACCGAUAGUGAACCAGUACCGUGAGGGAAAGGCGAAAAGAACCCCGGCGAGGGGAGUGAAAAAGAACCUGAAACCGU
rnacentral:rRNA from 1 species